rnacentral:rRNA from 1 species
CACCUACGGGUGGCUGCAGUCGAGAAUCUUUCACAAUGGGGGCAACCCUGAUGGAGGGACGCCGCGUGGAGGAUAAGGUCUUAGGAUUGUAAACUCCUGUCAUGUGUGAACAAGGUUGCAGGGAUAACACCUUUGCAAUUUGAUGGUAACACAAGAGGAAGAGACGGCUAACUCUGUGCCAGCAGCCGCGGUAAUACAGAGGUCUCAAGCGUUGUUCGGAAUCACUGGGCGUAAAGGGUGCGUAGGUGGCGUGGCAAGUCAGAUGUGAAAGCCCGGGGCUCAACCUCGGAACAGCAUCCGAUACUGCCGUGCUAGAGUACUGAAGAGGUGACUAGAAUUCUCGGUGUAGCAGUGAAAUGCGUAGAUAUCGAGAGGAAUACCAAAGGCGAAGGCAGGUCACUGGGCAGUUACUGACACUGAGGCACGAAGGCCAGGGGAGCAAACGGGAUUAGAUACCCCGGUAGUCCUGGCAGUAAACGGUGCACAUUUGGUGUGGGCGCAAUCGACCGCGUCCGCGCCGGAGCUAACGCGUUAAA